rnacentral:lncRNA from 1 species
GGAAUUCUAAACAACCCGAGCCUCCUUGUCGUGGUGUUUAAGUGCAUUGUGCUCCUGUCUGAGCAGAGGAAAUCGCUGAGGCUAAGUGGAACAGCAAGGAGUGAUCUGCCCAUGGAGCCAUAAAGUGGAAUUAAGGAUCAAGUUCUUCUGAAUCUUGGUCUUGUACUUCUUCCUACAGCCAAGCUCAGCCCUCACCACUGCUCUCCGCUUUUGACAUGGAACGGGCAGACACCAUUUGUGACCGUGCGAAUAUCCUGAGUCACACACUACCAGCUGGCUUUUGUGCUGCAGUUUUCCCUUCUCCCUUUACGACUGCACUCCCUAGAGGAGACCUGAACAAUUGCACUCGUCAGCAGAAGCGCAUGGUGUGCCGUGCCUGGAUGGCACCAUUGGUGGACGACCUCUGGCUGUGUCUGUGGGCUUCCUUUUGUAGCUGGGUUUCAUUCUGUUAGAUCCAGUUGAUUUGGCUUCUGCUCUGCCUGGGCUUUGCACCUGCUACAGCCCCAGCAAACUUGGCAGCAACCCUUCGGCUCUGCAGAGAAAACAACUGUCUAGACCAGGAACGUUCUGCCUGAUGCCCUGGACGGACCCCAGGCACUAAUCUGCAUCCACAACGGCGCGUUGUUGUGUCUGUUGCAAAAGAUGGAUAAAAUCUUUGUGGACUCCUAAUUGCACCUUUAGCCUCCUGCUGUUCUGCAUUUAUGAUCUGAUCUGCACGCUGAGUCAACGUCGCUGUAACGACAUGGAUGGAGGGCAGAGGUCCGCAGGUUUGCUUUGAGGAAGCCCCAUAAACAGGGUAAUAGCACCAGAGUUACUGUUCUCUUGAACUAAAGGGAGAGAAAGUAAGCUGCCAAUCAAAAAGAACAUCUCGUGGCACAGGCAGAUGUUUCUGAUGGCGAUGCCGGAGCCAGCAGAACCCCUGCAGCAGUGCAGCCCCAUGGUGCUGGAGGCCCUUCCAGACUGGAGGUGUGGCGGUGGUCUGCAUGUCAGCAGAGCAGUCCCAGCAGCGUUCAGCAUGGAUGAGGUAUUGAACGCAUCCCCGUGCCUCUGGGGGGCAACGUGGCUUCUGCUGACGUGUGAACACUCUGCUUGGCAGCCUGGUGCAGCACAUCACAGCUCAGAUGGGUUCUCCCAGGCGGCUGUGCAGCACAGAGCUAAUACAUGGAAUACAGGUGCUCGUGGACUCGUUCUGCACCGACCUGCCAGUCUGCAGGCCCCAAAAAUACAGGCACGGCCCAAAGGUUUCUAUUCAGGGCUCAGCAGUGGAAUAAGGAACAUGAGCCGUGGGAUAUCCCGUGUCACCGCAGGCUGCUCAGCCUGGAAGGGGCUGGUGGCAAAGGGAGGAAACGUCAGAAACGCCAUGGACUAUUUUAGAUCUGCAACCUCAGUUCUGCAAAGGACAGCCUGCUGAUGUGCCACGCUCAGCGAGCAGCGGGGAGGAACCCCACGGCAGGAAGAGAGGUUUGCAAGUUUCCCUUUCCCAUAGAGCACAUCCCAAACUGCUGCACGACAGCAUGCUGUGCAGUGCUGUGCUGCGUGGUGUCCUGUCAGCCUGCUGGGAGGACACGGAGUGCUCCAGCAGUGGGCAAUGUGGGAGCAGGCUGUGAGCUGCACAGCCCAGCAUACAGCACGGUGUGAGGCUGGAACUCCCAGUGCCCUCAGCACGUCUCCGUGCUGCGUCCCUGGCUGUGCAGCUCGGCCUGGAGGGCCCGGGGCUGUGAGCUCAUGGGUUUCUAUUUAUGCUUUCAUCUGGUUUUGCCUGCUUUGGACGGUUAACGUAACGCACACGCAGGGUGGUGCUUCAAGGAGACAAACAGUUGCUUCAUCUCCCUGUACAGACAGCCCUCUGCCCUUUGCGUUUCGAUUCCCGGUGUCUGUGUGUGUGGAGGUGAUUUGUCCAUAAUUGUUUGCUUUCUCCGGAGUCCUUUGAAGCGUCUGUCUCCCAACCGGUCCCCUCUUAAGAAUAAAUGC